GACGAACGCUGGCGGCGUGCUUAACACAUGCAAGUCGAGCGAUCGGCCUUCGGGGGGUAACCCCUGGAGGUACGGAGCGGCGAACGGGUGAGUAACACGUGUGCAACCUGCCCCGGACUCCUGGAUAGCUUCGGGAAACGGAGAUUAAUACCGGAUACCCUCGAAACCCCGCAUGUGCACCCGAGGAAAGCUCCGACGGACCGGGAGGGGCCCGCGGCCUAUCAGCUCGUUGGUGUGGUAACGGCCUACCAAGGCGACCGCGGGUAGCUGGCGUGAGAGCGUGGCCAGCCACACUGGGACUGCGACACGGCCGAGACUCCUAAGGGAGGCAGCAGUGGGGAAUCUUGCGCAAUGGGCGAAAGCCUGACGCAGCGACGCUGCGUGAGGGAUGAAGGCCUUCGGGUUGUAAACCUCUUUCGGCAGGGAAGAAGCGAAAGUGACGGUACCUGAAGAAGAAGCCCCGGCCAACUACGUGCCAGCAGCCGCGGUAACAC
rnacentral:rRNA from 1 species